UACGGGGGGGGCAAGCGUUGUUCGGAAUUACUGGGCGUAAAGGGCUCGUAGGUGGCCAACUAAGUCAGACGUGAAAUCCCUCGGCUUAACCGGGGAACUGCGUCUGAUACUGGAUGGCUUGAGUUUGGGAGAGGGACGCGGAAUUCCAGGUGUAGCGGUGAAAUGCGUAGAUAUCUGGAGGAACACCGGUGGCGAAGGCGGCGUCCUGGACCAACACUGACACUGAUGCACGAAAGUGUGGGGAUCAAACAGG
rnacentral:rRNA from 1 species